GAAUUAUAUGGAGAAGGUGGAUCAAGGAAGAGGGCAUCCCUCAGCUACUUCAUGUAGGUGUCUUAUGUGUAUAGCUGCAGCAUUCCUUAUUUAGUUCAUUCUUCUUCUACUUCACCGUAAGAUGCCCCAGCUGAGAUAUAGGGACUGAUACACCAGUGGAAAUUCCAUUGCAGCUCCCACCCCCAUUGUAUGAUAUAUAGGUGUAUGUGUAUUUUUCCUCAUCCCAUCCAUUAGAAAUUUUUAAAUAUUAUCUAACCAAAGCAUUU
rnacentral:lncRNA from 1 species